UACGGGGGGAGCAAGCGUUGUUCGGAUUUACUGGGCGUAAAGGGCGCGUAGGCGGUCGUGACAAGUCACUUGUGAAAUCUCCGGGCUUAACUCGGAACGGUCAAGUGAUACUGUCGGACUAGAGUACAGAAGGGGCACCUGGAAUUCUCGGUGUAGCGGUGAAAUGCGUAGAUAUCGAGAGGAACACCUGCGGCGAAGGCGGGUUGCUGGGCUGAUACUGACGCUGAGGCGCGAAAGCCAGGGGAGCGAACGGG
rnacentral:rRNA from 1 species